rnacentral:lncRNA from 1 species
AAAGGUGGGCUCUAUAGAGGCGACCGGCAAGCUGGAACACCAACCUGGAAAGAGAGUGAGCCACAAGGACCAAUUGGAAGCCUGUGGGGGAUAUCGGGGGCGGGGCUGCUGGCUGUGGUACUUUUGCAGCUUUGGUGGGCUCCGGCUUCCUUCACUCCAGCCCACCGCGUCCGAGAGACUUAGCAGGGCGUCAAACUGGAGAGCGGAAGGAUGGAACCUUUUAUUCUCAGGUGGAGAGGAUUAAGCUUUGCGGUGUUAGCAGAAAAUGAUCGAGCUCCAGAAAAUGAUUUGGAGGGUGAUCCCUUGGGGACUACGCUCCUUGAAACAAGGAGGACAGUUCUGCAGGUGUACCCAGCAGCUCCGAAGAGACAGCGACCAUCGAGAACAAGCCAUGAUGAUGAUGGUGGUUUGUCGAAAAGGAAAUGGGGAAA